UACGGGGGGAGCAAGCGUUGCUCGGAUUUACUGGGCGUAAAGGGCGCGUAGGCGGCCAGCACAAGUCAGUUGUGAAAUCUCCGGGCUUAACUCGGAAAGGUCAACUGAUACUGUGCGGCUAGAGUGCAGAAGGGGCAACUGGAAUUCUCGGUGUAGCGGUGAAAUGCGUAGAUAUCGAGAGGAACACCUGCGGCGAAGGCGGGUUGCUGGGCUGACACUGACGCUGAUGCGCGAAAGCCAGGGGAGCAAACGGG
rnacentral:rRNA from 1 species